rnacentral:antisense_RNA from 1 species
CGGCCGGCGUGGAUUAUUCCCCUCUCGGGAGAGAGGUCUGCAGCCGGGCCUCAGUGCUUCAGUUCGUGGCCUGGCAUUUUGUGAAGAGUGUCUUCAUCUCUGCAUCCCUAGUGCAACAGAGCAUGAUAAAAAUUCAAUAAAUAUUUAUUGCAGAGUCUUGAUGUCUUUUGGGAAAGGAACUCUAUGGUUACCUUUACUCUAAGAUUAGAAGGGUGUUACUGAUUCUUACCUCAGAGAAGAGAAUGUCAUGGAGACAAAAUGACCUGCUUAGAGUUCUGCGCCCCCCAGCAUGGAGAGCAGAGCGCAAAGAUUUCCUCCAGACUCCCACAUUCUCCCUUGGAAUCCAAGAACUUGUCUACUAUCACAACACUUUAGUACCCACUUCUCCUAAGGAGGCAGCAGAAACCAAGGUAAUCACAAUGGUCAACAGCAGCGAAGGCAGCAC